UACAUGGGGUGCAAACGUUGCUCGGAAUUAUUGGGCGUAAAGCGCGCGUAGGCGGUUAUCUAAGUCGGAUGUGAAAGCCCUCGGCUUAACUGAGGAAGUGCACCCGAAACUGGAUAGCUAGAGUACGAAAGAGGGUCGCGGAAUUCCCGGUGUAGAGGUGAAAUUCGUAGAUAUCGGGAGGAACACCGGUGGCGAAGGCGGCGACCUGGGUCGAGACUGACGCUGAGGAGCGAAAGUGUGGGGAGCGAACAGG
rnacentral:rRNA from 1 species